rnacentral:rRNA from 1 species
AGAGUUUGAUCCUGGCUCAGGAUGAACGCUAGCGACAGGCUUAACACAUGCAAGUCGAGGGGCAGCACAGGUAGCAAUACCGGGUGGCGACCGGCGCACGGGUGAGUAACGCGCAUGCAACUUGCCUAUCAGAGGGGGAUAACCCGGCGAAAGUCGGACUAAUACCGCAUGAAGCAGGGAUCCCGCAUGGGAAUAUUUGCUANAAGAUUCAUCGCUGAUAGAUAGGCAUGCGUUCCAUUAGGCAGUUGGCGGGGUAACGGCCCACCAAACCGACGAUGGAUAGGGGUUCUGAGAGGAAGGUCCCCCACAUUGGUACUGAGACACGGACCAAACUCCUACGGGAGGCAGCAGUGAGGAAUAUUGGUCAAUGGCCGAGAGGCUGAACCAGCCAAGUCGCGUGAGGGAUGAAGGUUCUAUGGAUCGUAAACCUCUUUUAUAAGGGAAUAAAGUGCGGGACGUGUCCCGUUUUGUAUGUACCUUAUGAAUAAGGAUCGGCUAACUCCGUGCCAGCAGCCGC